rnacentral:rRNA from 1 species
AGUGGCGGACGGGUGAGUAACACGUGGGAACGUGCCUUUUGGUUCGGAAUAGCUCCUGGAAACGGGUGGUAAUGCCGAAUGUGCCCUUCGGGGGAAAGAUUUAUCGCCAUUAGAGCGGCCCGCGUCUGAUUAGCUAGUUGGUGAGGUAAAGGCCCACCAAGGCUACGAUCAGUAGCUGGUCUGAGAGGAUGACCAGCCACAUUGGGACUGAGACACGGCCCAAACUCCUACGGGAGGCAGCAGUGGGGAAUCUUGCGCAAUGGGCGAAAGCCUGACGCAGCCAUGCCGCGUGUAUGAUGAAGGUCUUAGGAUUGUAAAAUACUUUCACCGGUGAAGAUAAUGACUGUAGCCGGAGAAGAAGCCCCGGCUAACUUCGUGCCAGCAGCCGCGGUAAUACGAAGGGGGCUAGCGUUGCUCGGAAUUACUGGGCGUAAAGGGAGCGUAGGCGGACAUUUAAGUCAGGGGUGAAAUCCCAGAGCUCAACUCUGGAACUGCCUUUGAUACUGGGUGUCUUGAGUGUGAGAGAGGUAUGUGGAACUCCGAGUGUAGAGGUGAAAUUCGUAGAUAUUCGGAAGAACACCAGUGGCGAAGGCGACAUACUGGCUCAUUACUGACGCUGAGGCUCGAAAGCGUGGGGAGCAAACAGGAUUAGAUACCCUGGUAGUCCACGCCGUAAACGAUGAUUGCUAGUUGUCGGGAU